rnacentral:lncRNA from 1 species
GUGAAUCAGGAGUAGAGAUAAGUCAAGCAUUACCAAUAACUGGAAUGAAAGUGACAUCACAACAAGCUGUACAGCUAUGAGGACAGGAAGCACAUCGGGAAUAUCUUGGUGCCAGCUUAAAUGAGAUGUGGUUUGGGGUUUUAUAAAUCGUAAUUAGGUAACAUGAAAGCAUGUAACAAUUAUACUACAUAAAAAAGGCAGAAAACAUUUAUGUUUCAUCUAUAUUUUUAAUUCCCUGGUUUACGAGGUUGACGUAGGGAAUGUUCUUGAAUUUUUUAGUGUGCUAAGGAGCCUAGAGUACCAUGUAGUGACAGAAACAAAGAAGUACUCAGAAUACAGAGGGAGGAGCAUGUCUUAGUAACAUAAGUGCCAACCUGAAAGGGCUCUCAGUGGCUUAAGCUAGAGCAAUGUGAACAUGGAAAUAAACAUUGCAGUAUUGGAUUUUAUCUCAGAGUAUAAAGUAAACAUACAGAGUCCACAUUUGGUAGAUGGGAGAACACAGAAACAGCUCUUCCAGAAAAUUCCAGAGCAUGUAGAUUCCUCUUUGUUUGGAAAGUAGAGCUUAAUGCCAUUAACUCCUAGUAGGAGUUAGAUUAAAAAAACAAGGCUUUAACAUUUUCAGACAUUAUUAUUGGUGUGUGUGUGUGUGUGUGUGUGUGUGUGUGUGAGAGAGAGAGAGAGAGAGAGAGAGAGAGAGAGAGAGAAAGAGAAAGAGAGAGAGAUAUGAGUCAUGGGGUCCUGUGUGGAGGUCAGAGGACUAGUUUGUAGAACUGGCUCUCCUUCAACUUUAAUGUGGAUUCUUGGAGUCAGACUCAAGCUGUCAGGCUUUUGCUGCAAGUUCUGAGCUACCUUACUGACCCAGGUUGGAGUUUUUAAUCAUUUUUGUUUUAUUUUAAACCCUGGCUAUUCUGGAAUUUGCUCUGUAGAGCAGGCUGGCCUCCAAACUUAGAUAUCUGCAUGCCUCUGCCUUCCAAGAGCAGGGAUUAAAGACAUGUGCCCUACUACUAGGUUAGGAUUUGUGUUUUUAAAGCAUAAAGUAUGGCAGGCUAAAAGCAGUAGCCUUACAGGGAGAAGCUUCGAUGAUAUCACCUUAACAUCAUGACCAAAGCUAGCAUAACUAUUUGUAGACAUAACAUGUUGGUAACCCGUACCUCUUAUGAGGUACAGAAAUGGAUCUUCCACAAACACCCAGUACAUAGAUGGGUAGCUGAUUUCCGGUGGCAGUCCAAAGGCAAUUCAGCAGAGGGAAUCUUUUCUGCAGUGGGCUAUCCAUAUGUAAGCAGAUAAACAUUUGUUGAUAAUGUCUCCUGCAAAAAUUUAUAAAACACACUAUAUCUAAAAGUAAAACAAAGUUAUCGAUCAGAAAAAAAUAUAAAGAAAGCCUUUGUGACUUUGGGUUAAGUAAAGGUUUCUUGGAAGUUAACAAAAUGUGUGUAAAGACCCAGCUUCUAAGUUGGGGCGUCUCAGAGAAGGCGGGGCUUAGGAGCUCCCUCAGUCCUAAGCCCACAUUCAACCUAUAACAAACAAUGUAACAACUUCAAAUGUAACAACUUCUUAAACCUUGUAUCAUUUCAAACCUUUAGUUCAGUCAAAUCAUGACUCUGCACCUCAUUCUUUUCACAGAUUUCAUAAGAAACAUCAUUUACUCUCCUGAUACACUGAUAGGAAGUAAAUUACACUUUGAUCUGACAGUGUUCGGUGUUUGUUACAGCUCUCUGUUACUUACCAGUUUGUGUAUCCUCUAACUUAGGACUGCUGUUGAACGGCUUUCUUGGUUGGUUUGUUUGUUUUACUUAAAACAAGCAGGGAGUCUCUCACACCCAUAUCCAGUCACUUGGGCAGCAAAGUAAUGCUAUCUGGUCGUUUGUCUUAUAAGAGCUAUUGUUAGAAAAGUUCUGCUGCAGUCCCCUUCCACAAAGGUUAGACACAAAUGGUUGCAUAGGAUUAAUGCAACCAGAGGCGCCCCGUCUUUCCUUUUCUGUUUAUUUAGUGCUGCCUUUAUCUUUAGUCUAAACUCCCAUGUGGGUUCCUUCCUGUUAAUGAGUUCAUCCUAAAACUUCAAGGGGGAGUUUAGGCCUAGAGCUAAGUAUUUGUAAUAGUGUUGUCCCUGGACUGAAAAACUAUACCUAGCAUAAAUAGUAACAAAAGAAACUGGCAAUAUUAGUUAAGCAGCAUAUUACAGAGUAGAUAUUUUGCAGUAAUAAGUAAUUAUGUGGGGUUCAGUCCCCAGUAAUGAAAUAAAAGAGCUCACUUUUUGAGAUUUUUAUUUGGACGCUCUAUCUGAAAUAGAAGCCAAGCCAUUCUGAUGUACAGGGAGCUGAGUCCUCUCCCUACUCUUCAUCCAUGGUGACGUCUAAUGAGCCCCGAGGGUCUUACAUAGCAUAGGCUAAAGCCAGUGCUGUAAUGAAAUGUUUAAUGGUGUAAAAUAUGUUAAUGUCUUAUUUGUUUGUUUGUUUAGAGAGAGAGUCUGCCAGUGGUUCCCAGGCUGGUCUUAAAUUCCUUGGGUUCAACUGGUCCAAGUCAGCCUCCCAAUUGGCUAGAUUACAGUGGCAUGUGCUGCCAACCCAGCUUGAUGAAAGUUAAAGGUGAUAUGUUUAGUUGCUUUACUUUUCAUAAAAGAACUUUUGUACUAUGUGUGAAGUCCAUAUAGAGAGAAAAGGGGAUGAUUUCAUGGUGUUACAGAGUAGAAAGGCUUCGCUUCAUAGGCGACUUUACAUCUUGGGUAGGAGACACUCUCAUUCCUCAGUGACUUGGGAGUUAGAGUCUCUUGAUUGUUAUUUGAUAUUAGUAUGUAAAUUAGUAUAGUAAUUUGUUUAGUUAUGUUAGCUUACAUAGUCUUAUGUAUAAAGUGUAUUAGAAUAAGCUCUUUUUCUUUUGGUAGCUAAGAAAGAGAAAAUAGCAGUAGUGAUCUCUGCGUUUCCGCUGCACCUUGUAUGUUCCUAGUGUUUCGCUACAGAAUCACCCUGCAGUCUUCGUGGUCAGAGAACUCACUGUAGGUCCGGGUUGGCCUUAGACAGCAUGAACCCUCUAACUCAGGCCCAGAGCGUUGAGACGUGCCUGCUGAACUGAGUUUUGUCAGCAGAAGUUCACAGUUCUGGGGUGAUGUGGGAGGAAUAUUAGAAUUGUUAAAACAUUUUCCCUUGCAUGUAAAGUCUCCUUCCUCUACUUUUAAUUUCUCUGUUGAGAGUAAAACAAAACCAUACACAUCUGGGGAGAUGGCUUGUGAGAGUAGGACUGGAAGCCCAAUUACCAGAAUAAGAUAAAAAGCCAGGUAGGCAUAGAGUCCCCUGUAAUCCCUGAUUUCCAAAGGCAGAGACAAAGGAUCCCCUAACUAAGCUAGUCAGCUAGACUAACUGAAACUGGGGAGAGACACCGGCUCAGUACAUGCAAUGGUGCGUGUGUCUGUGUGCCUGCCUGCCUGCCUGACUGUCUCUGUCUCCAUGUAUAUGGAGAAAUUAAACAAAUAGCUUUGUAGGAACAAGUAUGAAACAGUAUUAUGAUGCUAAUUUCUUAUAUUUCUCAUAAUGUAAGAAAUUUCCAUUUCCCAUAAAAUUAGAGGACCUCCCCACUGAUCCUUUGAAAGUCUGAGACAUUUAUAUUUCACAGAAACAACAUGGUUUUGUGACUCUGACAGAACGCAUUACAUUUGACACUAGACUCAAAAACAAACCUCUUAGUACAAAACCAACACUUUUUAAAUACAUUUUAAUGAAAAAUAGUUUUCUUAAUAGAAAAUAAUAAAGUGCUUUCUAUGGACUUGGGAAAUAUAUUUGUAAAAGAUGUAAUUAAGCUGAAGAAAUGGCUCUUUUAGAGUGUUCUGAGUUCAGAUCCUAGCAACUAAGUAAAAAUACAGGUAUGGCCAGCACACCUGUAUCCCUGGCCUAUAUUGGGUUAGGACAGAGACAGGAAAAUCAUUGGGGGACCACCUUGGGUUCCACGAAGGGUCCUAUCUCAGAGGAAAACUGAGAGUCAUAGAGCAGGACACCCGAUGUCCUCAUCCCAAGCUCUGUGCACAGGCAGCCACAUACAGUGUACACCUGCCCUCAUUUUAAUUGUAAUGAUAAUAUCUUUUAUAUUCACAUACCCUCUUAAAUUUCAUAUAUUGCCGGGCGUGGUGGCGAACGCCUUUAAUCCCAGCACUCGGGAGGCAGAGGCAGGCAGAUUUCUGAGUUCGAGGCCAGCCUGGUCUACAAAGUGAGUUCCAGGACAGCCAGGGCUAUACAGAGAAACCCUGUCUCGGGAAAAAAAAAAAAAAGAAAAAAGAAAAAAAAAUUUCAUAUAUUUAUACAAAUAUACUUAACCACCUAAGGUAAAACUAAAAGUGUAUGUAGGCAAACGUCUUAUCAACGUCUUAUUUCCUUUGUAAUUAAAAAAAUGUAAGUAUAAACAUGAAAUCUGUACAAUUUUUAUUCCAUUAGGGUUCUACUUACAGCAUUCUUCCUACAGAAAGGGUUUAUUUCUCUGUAAGACUUAGGUAGAUUCACAUUGCUCUAAUUCCCAGAAAUUGCAAACUUCUUUAGAGUUUGUGGGAACUGAGCUGUAAUUUCCUGGCUCCCUGGGUACCUUUCCUGGGAGUUUGGUGAAGUCUUUGUCUUUCUGAGCUUGUAUAGGGAUGGUGGAGUUAACUGGCUGUGUAUUCAGGUGGUAAGUGCAAGCUGAGCACAGGGCCAGAUGAAUGGGGAUCUUUCAGUGCUCUGUGAUUUGAAAGGGAUUCUAGAUGAACUGCGUUUCUGUCUCCUAAGAUGUCAGAAGUAAAGGUUCCUCCCUUCCCUGUGAUCCUUUUGGUACUUAGAGCAGGUAAGGUAAACCCAUUGUCUUAGGGUUUCUGUUGCUUUUGUGAAGCAUCAUGACCAUAAAAAACUUGGAGAGGAAAGGGUUUAUGUUAGCUUAGAGUUCCACGUCAUAGUAGUCCAUCACUGGCAAUGGUCAGGGCAGGAACUCAAAACAGGGCGUGAAGGCAGCUGUGCAGAGGCCAUGCUGGAGUGCUGUGGACUGGCUUGCCCUUAGGGUUUGCUCAACCUGGUUUCUUAAAGAACACAGGACCAUCUGCCUUGCUUGCUUUAAAUAGAAUUUGGUAAUUAGAAAAACUGUGAUUUUUGAAGUUGUUAGUUUCUUGGAGCUGGAAAGAUAGAUCUGUUU